AUUUUUUGAAUUUUUUUUUCUUUUGGAAUAUAUCAUGUUUCUUCCUUAUUUUUAAAGUUUUGUUUUAUUGAAGUGAAGAUCGUGUGAAAAUUCGAAUUUUUCUUUUUCGUAAUCUCUUUAAUUUUUUAGCUUUUUGUUGUUCUUGUUGCUAUGGGUAGAAACGUUCAGGAACUGUUUUGAUUUUGGUAAGAAUUUUGGUUUGCCAUUAUAUUGUAUGGAGUAGCUAAAGGUGAGUGUUCGAUUUUCUACUUUUUGGAAUGCCAAGACAAAGAUUUUAUAUGCUACCUACACUUUUUGAGGUUAUCUGGGGAGCUACUCUUUUUCAUCACAAGAUGAUGUGUGCUGCUAGAAUCCUGGUUUUUUUUCUUUAGCUUGUUUAGUUUACGUGAUAGAAUGUUGGCUGAGAAGCUUAACUGUUUUGGCAUAUUUUAUCCAUAUAUUUUAAA
rnacentral:misc_RNA from 1 species